UACGAAGGGGGCUAGCGUUGUUCGGAAUUACUGGGCGUAAAGGGCGCGUAGGCGGUCCUGAUCGUCGGAUGUGAAAGGCCUGGGCUCAACCUGGGAACUGCAUCCGAUACGGCGGGACUGGAGUGUGGGAGAGGUUGGUGGAAUUCCCAGUGUAGAGGUGAAAUUCGUAGAUAUUGGGAAGAACACCGGUGGCGAAGGCGGCCAACUGGACCACACUGACGCUGAGGCGCGAAAGCGUGGGGAGCAA
rnacentral:rRNA from 1 species